CAAGUCGAACGAACCUUCGGGUUAGUGGCGGACGGGUGAGUAACGCGUGGGAAUCUGCCCUCAGGAGGGGGAUAACGGUUGGAAACGACCGCUAAUACCCCAUAUGCCGAGAGGUGAAAUGAAUUUCGCCUGAGGAUGAGCCCGCGUCUGAUUAGCUUGUUGGUGAGGUAAUGGCUCACCAAGGCUUCGAUCAGUAGCUGGUCUGAGAGGAUGAUCAGCCACACUGGGACUGAGACAUGGCCCAGACUCCUACGGGAGGCAGCAGUGGGGAAUUUUCCGCAAUGGGCGAAAGCCUGACGGAGCAACGCCGCGUGAGGGACGAAGGCCUCUGGGCUGUAAACCUCUUUUCUCAAGGAAGAAGAUAUGACGGUACUUGAGGAAUAAGCCACGGCUAAUUCCGUGCCAGCAGCCGCGGUAAUACGGGAGUGGCAAGCGUUAUCCGGAAUUAUUGGGCGUAAAGCGUCCGCAGGCGGCCUUUCAAGUCUGCUGUUAAAACGUGGAGCUUAACUCCAUCAUGGCAGUGGAAACUGAUUGGCUUGAGUAUGGUAGGGGCAGAGGGAAUUCCCGGUGUAGCGGUGAAAUGCGUAGAUAUCGGGAAGAACACCAGUGGCGAAGGCGCUCUGCUGGGCCAUAACUGACGCUCAUGGACGAAAGCCAGGGGAGCGAAAGGGAUUAGAUACCCCUGUAGUCCUGGCCGUAAACGAUGAACACUAGGUGUCGGGGGAAUCGACCCCUUCGGUGUCGUAGCUAACGCGUUAAGUGUUCCGCCUGGGGAGUACGCACGCAAGUGUGAAACUCAAAG
rnacentral:rRNA from 1 species